GUGGGUGUUUACAAGGAGAUAAGGCAUCUGGCUCACAGACAAGUAAUGCUCCAUUCAGCAUCUGUUAUAGCAGAUAUAUAUAUUAUCCAUGAGACACAGUGCUGCACCUUUUGAAUGCUGUUAGAGAUGGUGAUCAUCUGAGUCCUAAGCACUGCACAGGUGCAGGGAGCCUGUUAAAGAGAGACCCCUGUGCCUAUUCUCCUUUUUCUGAUAUUCUUUGAAAUUCAUCAGCUCAUCCAAUUCAUAAAUUUCAAAGGAGAGAAAUACUUCCACCCAAGUCUAAGCAUAAAUGGAAGACUGUCAAAAUUCGUGAUGGGAAGAAACGUUCUUUCAGGGUGACAUCAAAUACCUCAGAAGGUUGUCAAGACUAUCUUCUGUGAUAUCAUCUUGACCACAGGAGUGAGCUUGUCAUCAUGUCAGUCACACUCUAUUAGGGACUUCCUCCAACCUGGAAACAGGUUGCUGUCCCUCAGGUCUUUGCCCACAGGGCAGUCAGCAGAGGUUGGGGACUACCUAGGAGAGAAUGCUGGACAAGAGACAUGAAAAAGGAUUCCAAGACAAGAGUCUGAUCAAGGCAACAACUUAUUUUUUCCCAAGGCUGAAUUUACCAUAUCAGUGGUAAAAGAGGGAAGUGGGAAGCAUGUACACAAGCCAAGGACAUAGUACAUUUGUGAGUUAGUGCUCAAUCCAUUCCCUGACAAGAACACAAGAAGGCACUGUUGGUAACAUGAUUUGGUCUGAAAUGGGGUAAAGUGACAACCUCUCUUCAAGUGCCAGCUUCUGAAACAGCACAUGACCGUUAAACGUUAUAACAUUCAUGACACACAGAGAAUUGCAACUCUGCUCCAGGGCCAGUGAAAAUUUUUGCACAUUAACUAGCAUUGUUCUGGGCCCACAGACCACAUUCAUCAUAAGGGGGGCAAAGAAAUGGCUCAGUGGCUAGAAGUAUGCCUCACU
rnacentral:lncRNA from 1 species